CUAACCUCUUUUUUUUUUUUUUUUCUUCCCCUCCACAUGGGUUUCUGUUAAGUUUCUCAGGAUGCAACUUUCAAGUAUACAAUGGAGUUUUGUUAAUUAACUAUAGGCACUAUGCUAUACACUGCACCCCAGGAUGUAGUCAUCUUAUAACUGGAAGUUUGCAUGCUUUGACCAACAUCUCCUUAGUCGGCCGGCUCCUCCCUCUUCCCCCCAGUCCCUGGCAAUCACCACUCUACUCUCUGUUUCCAUGAGUUCAGCUUUUUUGGAUUCCACGUGUAAGUGCCAGCAUAUAGUGUUUGUCUUUCUCUGUCUGACUUAUUUCACUUAGCAUAAUGGGCUCAGGGUCCAUCCAUGUUGCAAAUGGCAGGAUAUCCUCCUUUCUCGUGGCUGAAUUAUAUUCCACUGUAUAUGUAUACCAGGUUUUGUUUUUUUUUAAUCCAUUCAUCCACUGAUGGGCACUUUGGUUAUUUCCAUAUGUUGGCUAUUUUGAAUAAUGCCGCAAUGGAUCCAGGGGUGCAGAUAUCUCUUUGAGAUCCGGAUUUCAUUCCUUUUGGAUGGAUACCCUAUAUGGGUUAUUUCUGUCCUUCUAAAUCUUCACUGUACUUGAAUAUCCCUGAUCAAAUGUCACUUUUGCUAUGAAUACUUCCCAGUUUUACCAGUCACAAGUAGUUUCUUUUUCUGCUGAUUUCCAUUGCUCUCCCAGUUCCUUGACAAAGGUACAAAAAGCCUACAUGUCUCUUCCCUAAAAGAUUGCACUCUGCUGUUGUCAUGAGAGUGUAAUCAUUGUUGUGUUAUUUUAAUCUUUGCACCCUUUGUUAACCCUGUGGUCAAAAAUUAUUACUUAACUACAAAGCUAUUUUAACUGAGGUCUAGAUUAUUUGAAAUAAAUUAAUAUCUUACCCUGUCAUCCUUUUGACAUAUUUGCAUUUCAACAGGAACUUUCUGGAGAAACACAAUGCUGAACUUACAAGAUUUGAGGGUGGCCAUUUAAGGUACGAAGCCAGAAUUUCUGCCCGUGGAGUUUCUCUGAAGAAGGUGACUGGUUUCAAGAGCCGGGCAGUGUUUUCAAAUGACAGUUCAGCCCCUUUGAGAGUGACAUCAUGGCAAGAGUGAUGGUAUUAACUCCAGUGUUUGUACCAGAGGAUGACAGGGACUCAGAUGCCUGGAAAGAAUGGCCCGCGUACCAGCUGGGGUUGCCACCCUGGAACCACGAUGCUUAGCCUUUCUUCUGUUACGAGACUGUUGAGACUGUUGGAGUCUCAAGGCUACGAGGGGCGUGGUUUUAGCCUUAUUUUAAAUGGUCAUGGGAACAGGAUUGAGAGGUUUUAGCAUGGAACACCAAGGAAUCUGAGAAGCCUGCAUUGAAACCCGGCCUCUGGAACAUGAUGGAAAGAGGAGAGGAGGAGAUUAUAUAUUGAGCAAUACGUGAGCUUGGUUUGUAACUUCUAAGUAUUUAUGUGGCAUCUCCGUUUGGACUCUCCCCAGCCUACAAAUGCUCUGGGCAGGCCUCCCGAGCUGUGUGGAGUCCUGGCUCCCUUUGCAUUGAUUUAAGAUUGAGUGAAGGCCCUGGAGCAUUCCCUCCAUCAUUGAAACAGAGGGGCCCCCAAGAGAGAACCAGGAACUCCUGGUGGUGCAGUAAGCCAUGUUCCUUCCCCAUCGUUGUAUUUGUGCUUGCUUUCCCCAAGGUCAUUAACAGGAUUAACGGUAGAGGGUUUGUGAACAAGAUUAAUGCCCCAUAACAAGGGUUUAGAUAAAUCAAUCAAGUACAUACAUCCAAUGCUAUACUCUGUACCUAUGAAAACAUUUUAGAUAAAUAAUUGGAAUAACAAUCCUAUAAGUACUAAUAAUCAUAACAAUGACAGAUCUUCCUCCUUGAGCACUGGGUCUCUGUCCGUCAGCAUGUGCAGCAGCUCAAACUCACCAUCUCACUCAGGCCCCCAAACCACAAGGUGGGUUCUUAGUUCCAGGCAUCAGCAAGGAAACUGAGCUUGGGAGGAUUUGGUUAUACAAGGGUAUGUGGAUUAGGGAGUCGCUCUCUGAGUCUUUUGGACUGGGCCACAGUUUCUCCACAGGGCGGAGGUGGCAUCUUCCAGAAUCACAGGGCCCCCCCCCCUUUCCUUAGGAGAAGGGAAACCAGAGCUCCCUUUUUUAUUGAGGUAUGAUUGGCAUACAAUGUCGUGUAAGUUUAAGGAGCAUAAAGAUGUUGGUUUGACACAUUUACAUAGUACAGUAUGAUUACCGCCUGGUAUCACCUGUGCCAUUGCUUUUUUGUGGUGAGAACAUUUACAACCUAACCUUCUAGCAACUUUGAGGUAUAAAAUCAGUAUUGUUGAGUGCAAUCACUCCGCUUUGCAUUAAGUCUCCAGAAUUUAUCCAUCUGCUACGUGCACGUUUGUAUCAUUAGACAACAUCUCCUCAGUUGCCCGAGCCCCAGCUCCUGGCCACUACUAUUUUACGGUCUGUGUCUAUGAAGUCAGCUCGUUCAGACUCCACGAUGAAAUAGGAAUAAUAAUAAUACAACAAUACAACAAUAUGGAAUAUUCCUACUUGUUCACUCUCUCGAUAAGUUCUUAUUUUUCUUUUCCUCUUCUCUGGAUGCUGGUUGUCAGCUAUUGUGUUCCCUGUGGGGUCCAGGAGGUGGGGUUCCUGGCAUGUCUGUUCUUCUUCCCAAGAAGGUUCUCUGGCACGUUCAAGGUGGAAUGAUUUCAAGUCAACUUAAUUGUCCCCAUUUUCAUCUUAGUAGACAUCCACUCCAGGUGCUGCAUUUGGCACUGAGUGGAAGAGUGACGUUCAGAUGGUAGUAAGGGGAUCGUCUGGCCGUUGGAUUGUUCUGCGUGAAAGCAGACCUAUUGGAAGGUCUUUCUGUAAGUAGCUAAUACACAUAAACUGUGAAACAGAACAAAAAGACAUAAUGGACUAAAAAUAGAUAAUAAAUAAAGGAAAAUACAACAGACAAAAGAGAAAACAUCCAACUUCCAACUAGACAGAGAUAUAGGCCCUACUAAAUUUUUGGGGUACGGUUUUGAAAGGCCCAUUAGUAAAUGCUCAGGGUAUGGAUCCAGGUUUCCUGGAUUCGAACCCUCUUUAUCCUGCUUGUCAGCUUGGGACCCUGGACUAGUUAACUUGCCUCAGUGUCCUCAUCUGUAAAAUGGAGAUAAUACAAGGACCUCUA